rnacentral:tRNA from 1 species
GAGAGAUGGCUGAGUGGUUGGAUAGCCCCGGUCU